rnacentral:SRP_RNA from 1 species
GCCGGGUAGGGUGGUGCAUGCCUGUAAUCCUGGCUACUUGGGAGGCUGAGGUAGGAGAAUCGCUUGAACCUGGGAGGCAGGGGUUGCAGUGAGCCGAGAUUGUGCCACUGCACUCCAGCCUAGAUGACAGAGUGAGACUCUGUCUCAA